rnacentral:rRNA from 1 species
UGGGGAAUUUUGGACAAUGGGCGAAAGCCUGAUCCAGCAAUGCCGCGUGUGUGAAGAAGGCCUUCGGGUUGUAAAGCACUUUUGUCCGGAAAGAAAUCCUUGGCUCUAAUACAGUCGGGGGAUGACGGUACCCGGAAGAAUAAGCACCGGCUAACUACGUGCCAGCAGCCGCGGUAAUACGUAGGGUGCAAGCGUUAAUCGGAAUUACUGGGCGUAAAGCGUGCGCAGGCGGUUUGCUAAGACCGAUGUGAAAUCCCCGGGCUCAACCUGGGAACUGCAUUGGUGACUGGCAGGCUAGAGUAUGGCAGAGGGGGGUAGAAUUCCACGUGUAGCAGUGAAAUGCGUAGAGAUGUGGAGGAAAAAUACCCGAUGGCGAAGGCAGCCCCCUGGGGCCAAAUACUGACGCUCAUGCACGAAAGCGU